UAGCGGCGGACGGGUGAGUAACACGUGGGCAACCUGCCUGUAAGACUGGGAUAACUUCGGGAAACCGGAGCUAAUACCGGAUAAUCCUUUUCCUCUCAUGAGGGAAAGCUGAAAGACGGCCUCUCGCUGACACUUACAGAUGGGCCCGCGGCGCAUUAGCUAGUUGGUGAGGUAACGGCUCACCAAGGCGACGAUGCGUAGCCGACCUGAGAGGGUGAUCGGCCACACUGGGACUGAGACACGGCCCAGACUCCUACGGGAGGCAGCAGUAGGGAAUCUUCCACAAUGGACGAAAGUCUGAUGGAGCAACGCCGCGUGAGCGAAGAAGGCCUUCGGGUCGUAAAGCUCUGUUGUUAGGGAAGAACAAGUAUCGGAGUAACUGCCGGUACCUUGACGGUACCUAACCAGAAAGCCACGGCUAACUACGUGCCAGCAGCCGCGGUAAUACGUAGGUGGCAAGCGUUGUCCGGAAUUAUUGGGCGUAAAGCGCGCGCAGGCGGUCCUUUAAGUCUGAUGUGAAAGCCCACGGCUCAACCGUGGAGGGUCAUUGGAAACUGGGGGACUUGAGUGCAGAAGAGGAAAGCGGAAUUCCACGUGUAGCGGUGAAAUGCGUAGAGAUGUGGAGGAACACCAGUGGCGAAGGCGGCUUUCUGGUCUGUAACUGACGCUGAGGCGCGAAAGCGUGGGGAGCAAACAGGAUUAGAUACCCUGGCUAGUCCACGCCGUAAACGAUGAGUGCUAAGUGUUAGGGGGUUUCCGCCCCUUAGUGCUGCAGCUAACG
rnacentral:rRNA from 1 species